rnacentral:rRNA from 1 species
UGGGGAAUAUUGCACAAUGGGCGAAAGCCUGAUGCAGCAACGCCGCGUGCGGGAUGACGGCCUUCGGGUUGUAAACCGCUUUCAGCAGGGACGAAGGUUUUCUGACGGUACCUGCAGAAGAAGCACCGGCUAACUACGUGCCAGCAGCCGCGGUGAUACGUAGGGUGCGAGCGUUGUCCGGAAUUAUUGGGCGUAAAGAGCUUGUAGGCGGUCCGUUGCGUCGGAAGUGAAAACUCAGGGCUUAGCCCCUGAGCCUGCUUUCGAUACGGGCGGACUUGAGGGAUGUAGGGGAGAACGGAAUUCCUGGUGGAGCGGUGGAAUGCGCAGAUAUCAGGAGGAACACCAGUGGCGAAGGCGGUUCUCUGGACAUUUCCUGACGCUGAGAAGCGAAAGCGUGGGGAGCAAACAGGCUUAGAUACCCUGGUAGUCCACGCCGUAAACGGUGGGCACUAGGUGUGGGACCCAUUCCACGGGUUCCGUGCCGUAGCUAACGCAUUAAGUGCCCCGCCUGGGGAGUACGGCCGCAAGGCUAAAAACUCAAAUGAAUUGACGGGGUCAUAGCUGUUUCCUG